AGAGUUUGAUCCUGGUAGGAGGGACGUUGGCGGUGUGCCUAAUACAUGCAAGUCGAAUGGAGUUAGUAGCAAUACUGGCUCAGUGGCGAACGGGUGAGUAACGCGUUGGUGAUCUGCCUUGAAGUGUGGAAUAACGUUUCGAAAGGAACGCUAAUACCGCAUGUGCUCUCGAUUUUCAGAAAGUUGAGAGUAAAGGAUUUAUUCGCUUCAAGAGGAGCCUGCGUCCCAUCAGCUGGUUGGUAGGGUAACGGCCUACCAAGGCUAUGACGGGUAGGGGACCUGAGAGGGUGGCCCCCCACAAUGGAACUGAAACACGGUCCAUACACCUACGGGUGGCAGCAGUAGGGAAUAUUAGAAAUGGACGAAAGUCUGAUCUAGCAACACCGCGUGUGCGAAGAAGGCCUUCGGGUCGUAAAGCACUUUUUGGAAGGAAUAGGAAGGAAUGUACUUCCAGAAUAAGUCUCGGCUAACUACGUGCCAGCAGCCGCGGUAAUA
rnacentral:rRNA from 1 species